rnacentral:rRNA from 1 species
GACGAACGCUGGCGGCGUGCUUAACACAUGCAAGUCGAACGGAAAGGCCUCUUUCGGGGGGUACUCGAGUGGCGAACGGGUGAGUAACACGUGAGUAACCUGCCCUUGACUUUGGGAUAACUUCAGGAAACUGGGGCUAAUACCGGAUAGGAGCUCCUGCUGCAUGGUGGGGGUUGGAAAGUUUCGGCGGUUGGGGAUGGACUCGCGGCUUAUCAGCUUGUUGGUGGGGUAGUGGCUUACCAAGGCUUUGACGGGUAGCCGGCCUGAGAGGGUGACCGGCCACAUUGGGACUGAGAGACGGCCCAGACUCCUACGGGAGGCAGCAGUGGGGAAUAUUGCACAAUGGGUGGAAGCCUGAUGCAGCAACGCCGUGUGCGGGAUGACGGCCUUCGGGUUGUAAACCGCUUUCGCUCAUGACGAAGCUUUGUGUGACGGUAGUGGGUAAAGAAGCACCGGCUAACUACGUG